rnacentral:rRNA from 1 species
UACGGAGGGGGCAAGCGUUAUUCGGAAUUAUUGGGCGUAAAGGGCGCGUAGGCGGCUAGAUGUGUCAAAGGUGAAAUCCCUCGGCUCAACUGAGGAACUGCCUUUGAAACUGUCUGGCUUGAGACCGGGAGAGGUGAGUGGAAUUCCCAGUGUAGCGGUGAAAUGCGUAGAUAUUGGGAGGAACACCAGUGGCGAAGGCGGCUCACUGGACCGGAACUGACGCUGAGGCGCGAAAGCGUGGGGAGCAAACAGG